rnacentral:rRNA from 1 species
CAAUAGCGUAUAUUAAAGUUGUUGCAGUUAAAAAGCUCGUAGUUGGAUUUGUGGCUGUCACGGGCGGCCUAUCACUUAGUGUUAGUGCUUGCCUGUGUCGCCAUCCUUGGGUGGAGCCCGUGUGGCAUUAGGUUGUCGUGCGGGGGAUGCCCAUCGUUUACUGUGAGAAAAUUAGAGUGUUCAAAGCAGGCUUAUGCCAUUGAAUAUGUUAGCAUGGAAUAAUAAGAUAGGACCUCGGUACUAUUUUGUUGGUUUGCGCACCGAGGUAAUGAUUAAUAGGGACAGUUGGGGGUAUUCGUAUUUCAUUGUCAGAGGCGAAAUUCUUGGAUUUCUGAAAGACGAACUACUGCGAAAGCAUUUACCAAGGAUGUUUUCAUUAA